rfam:Lasius niger Lnig_2.1_19290, whole genome shotgun sequence.
UACCCGGCCCUUUUUAGGGCCAUCCCACGUGAUAUUUGAGUCUUCAG